AGCUCCAAUAGCGUAUAUUAAAGUUGUUGCGGUUAAAAAGCUCGUAGUUGGAUUUCUGCUGAGGACGACCGGUCCGCCCUCUGGGUGAGCAUCUGGUUCGGCCUUGGCAUCUUCUUGGGGAACGUAGCUGCACUUGACUGUGUGGUGCGGUAUCCAGGACUUUUACUUUGAGGAAAUUAGAGUGUUUCAAGCAGGCGCACGCCUUGAAUACAUUAGCAUGGAAUAAUAAGAUAGGACCUCGGUUCUAUUUUGUUGGUUUCUAGAGCUGAGGUAAUGAUUAAUAGGGAUAGUUGGGGGCAUUCGUAUUUAACUGUCAGAGGUGAAAUUCUUGGAUUUACGAAAGACGAACAACUGCGAAAGCAUUUGCCAAGAGUGUUUUCAUUAAUCAAGAACGAAAGUA
rnacentral:rRNA from 1 species